rnacentral:rRNA from 1 species
GACGAACGCUGGCGGCGUGCUUAACACAUGCAAGUCGAACGGAAAGGCCCUGCUUUUGUGGGGUGCUCGAGUGGCGAACGGGUGAGUAACACGUGAGUAACCUGCCCUUGACUUUGGGAUAACUUCAGGAAACUGGGGCUAAUACCGGAUAGGAGCUCCUACUGCAUGGGGGGGGUUGGAAAGGUUCGGCGGUUGGGGAUGGACUCGCGGGUUAGCAGCUUGUUGGGGGGGUAGUGGCUUACCAAGGUUUUGACGGGUAGCCGGCCUGAGAGGGUGACCGGCCACCUUGGGACUGAGGUACGGCCCAGACUCCUACGGGAGGGCGCAGUGGGGAAUAUUGCCCGAUGGGCGGAAGCCUGAUGAAGCAACUCCGCGUGCGGGAUGACGGCCUUCGGGUUGUAAACCGCUUUCGCCUGUGACGAAGCGUGAGUGACGGUAAUGGGUAAAGAAGCACCGGCUAACUACGUG